rnacentral:rRNA from 1 species
UCGAGAAUCAUUCACAAUGGGGGCAACCCUGAUGGUGCAACGCCGCGUGGAGGAUGAAGGUCUUCGGAUUGUAAACUCCUGUCAUCCGGGAGCAAGACCUGGCAGUGAAUAGCUGACAGGGUUGAUAGUACCGGAAGAGGAAGGGACGGCUAACUUCGUGCCAGCAGCCGCGGUAAUACGAAGGUCCCGAGCGUUGUUCGGAAUCACUGGGCGUAAAGGGAGCGUAGGCGGCGUGGAAAGUCAGAUGUGAAAUCCCAGAGCUUAACUCUGGAACUGCAUCCGAUACUACCAUGCUAGAGUAUUGGAGGGGUAACUGGAAUUCUCGGUGUAGCAGUGAAAUGCGUGGGUAUCGAGAGGAACACUCGUGGCGAAAGCGAGUCACUGGACAAUUACUGACGCUGAGGCUCGAAGGCCAGGGGAGCAAAAGGG